rnacentral:rRNA from 1 species
AUAGCGUAUAUUAAAGUUGUUGCAGUUAAAAAGCUCGUAGUUGAACUUCGAACGUGGUUGGGCGGUCCGCCUCACGGUGUGUACUGUCUGGCCGUGUUCUCUUUCUUGGUGAGCCGCAUGCCCUUCACUGGGUGUGUUGGGGAACCAGGACGUUUACCUUGAGAAAAUUAGAGUGUUCAAAGCAGGCCUACGCCCGAAUACAUUAGCAUGGCAUAAUAAAAUAGGACGUGCGUUUCUAUUUUGUUGGUUUCUAGAGUCGCCGUAAUGAUUAAUAGGGAUAGUUGGGGGCAUUAGUAUUCCGUUGCUAGAGGUGAAAUUCUUGGAUUGACUCAAGACCAACUAUUG